UACGUAGGCGGCAAGCGUUGUCCGGAAUUAUUGGGCGUAAAGCGCGCGCAGGCGGUUUCUUAAGUCUGAUGUGAAAGCCCACGGCUCAACCGUGGAAGGUCAUUGGAAACUGGGGAACUUGAGUGCAGAAGAGAAGAGCGGAAUUCCACGUGUAGCGGUGAAAUGCGUAGAGAUGUGGAGGAACACCAGUGGCGAAGGCGGCUCUUUGGUCUGUAACUGACGCUGAGGCGCGAAAGCGUGGGGAUCAAACAGG
rnacentral:rRNA from 1 species